rnacentral:rRNA from 1 species
UACGUAGGGUGCAAGCGUUGUCCGGAAUUAUUGGGCGUAAAGGGCUCGUAGGCGGUCUGUUGCGUCAGGAGUGAAAACUCGGGGCUUAACCCCGAGCCUGCUUCUGAUACGGGCAGACUAGAGGUAUGCAGGGGAGAACGGAAUUCCUGGUGUAGCGGUGAAAUGCGCAGAUAUCAGGAGGAACACCGGUGGCGAAGGCAGCUCGCUGGGACGUUACUGACGCUGAGACGCGAAAGCGUGGGGAGCAAACAGG